rnacentral:rRNA from 1 species
GUAGGUGGCAAGCGUUGUCCGGAAUUAUUGGGCGUAAAGCGCGCGCAGGCGGUUCUUUAAGUCUGAUGUGAAAGCCCACGGCUCAACCGUGGAGGGUCAUUGGAAACUGGAGAACUUGAGUACAGAAGAGGAAAGCGGAAUUCCACGUGUAGCGGUGAAAUGCGUAGAGAUGUGGAGGAACACCAGUGGCGAAGGCGGCUUUCUGGUCUGUAACUGACGCUGAGGCGCGAAAGCGUGGGGAGCAAACAGGGAUUAGAUACCCUGGUAGUCCACGCCGUAAACGAUGAGUGCUAAGUGUUAGGGGGUUUCCGCCCCCUUAGUGCUGCAGCCAGCGCAUUAAGCACUCCGCCUGGGAGUACGGCCGCAAGGCUG